UGAAACAAGGGGAAGACUCACAUAGGGGCAGCAGUAGAGAAUCUUGUGCAAUAUACGAAAGUAUGACACAGAGAGCACAUAUUGAGCCCGUCAAAUUAAGUGCCAGCCGACGCGGUUAGACUUAAGGGCUGGUCUUUAUAAGUAAAAAGGCGUAAAGGAUGUGUAGGCCAAAUAAUUACUAAGAGGUAGAUGGAAUUUUUCUGGAGCGGUAGAAUGCGAGGAUAGAAAAUAGAACCCCUAAAGUAAAAACAAUCUACCACAGCACAGGCUGAAACAUGAAAGUGUGGGGAGCAAACAGGAUUAGAGACCCUGGUAGUCCACCCAGUGAACAUUGAAGAUUAUGCUCGGCAGCCCCGAAAGGUAAAAUCUUCCGCCUGAGUAGUACGAUCGCAAGAUUAAAAUUCAAAAACUUUGGCUGUCCACAACAUCGAUUAGAGGAGCGUGUAGUUUAAUUCGAUGGUCCGCGCGAAACCUCACCCCAACUUGAAUCUGUGACCGGUAUUGCAUGGCCGUCGUAAGUCCGUGUGUUAAGCUAAAAGGGACCCAACCCCGAUCGGGAGGAAGUCAGGUCUUAUGAUCCUAAUGUUGGGGGAUACUAUGCGCUACAUUUUCUUAUACAAUGGGAGGCUGGGAAGUGAAACCCAAAAGUAAGAGUUCGGAAGGUCGCUGUAAAACGACCAGAAGUUGGAUUUAAUAGUAAUCGGAAAGUAGAGCGUUCCGGUGAAUCGGUACAAGUGUUAGCACAAAUUGCCCGUCACCUUUACCUAGAAUGGUUGUUCGGACGCCUUCGGUGGUUACGAGCGCCUACGAGGUAAAGCAAGUCGUAACAU
rnacentral:rRNA from 1 species